rnacentral:rRNA from 1 species
UACGUAAUCCCUAAGUGGUUCCCACUUGUAUUGGGCCUAAAACACCUGUAGCCGGUGAUUUAAGUCUUUGGUGAAAUCGGACAGCUCAACUGUUCGAAUGGCUAAAGAUACUGAAUCGCUUGGAGAAGUAAGACGUGAGGGGAAUUUUUGGGGUAACGGUGAAAUGUUAUGAUCCCAAAAAGACCUCCAGUAGCGAAGGCGCCUCACGAGGACUAUCUCGACGGUGAGAGAUGAAAGCUGGGGGAGCGACAAG